UACAGAGGUCCCGAGCGUUGUUCGGAUUCAUUGGGCGUAAAGGGUGCGUAGGCGGCUUCCUAAGUUUGAUGUGAAAUCCCGGGGCUCAACCCUGGAAUUGCAUUGAAUACUGGGAGGCUAGAGUACUGGAGAGGAAACUGGAAUUUACGGUGUAGCAGUGAAAUGCGUAGAGAUCGUAAGGAAGACCAGUGGCGAAGGCGAGUUUCUGGACAGUAACUGACGCUGAGGCACGAAGGCCAGGGGAGCAAACGGGG
rnacentral:rRNA from 1 species